rnacentral:tRNA from 1 species
GCCGAAGUGGCGAAAUUGGCAGACGCAGUGGACUCAAAAUCCACCGGUGGCAACACCGUGCCGGUUCGAGUCCGGCUUUCGGCA